AACGAACGCUGGCGGCAUGCCUAACACAUGCAAGUCGAACGAGACCUUCGGGUCUAGUGGCGCACGGGUGCGUAACACGUGGGAAUCUGCCCUUCGGUUCGGAAUAACAGAGAGAAAUUUCUGCUAAUACCGGAUGAUGACGUAAGUCCAAAGAUUUAUCGCCGAAGGAUGAGCCCGCGUAGGAUUAGGUAGUUGGUGGGGUAAUGGCCCACCAAGCCGACGAUCCUUAGCUGGUCUGAGAGGAUGAUCAGCCACACUGGGACUGAGACACGGCCCAGACUCCUACGGGAGGCGGCAGUGGGGAAUAUUGGACAAUGGGCGAAAGCCUGAUCCGGCAAUGCCGCGUGAGUGAUGAAGGCCUUAGGGUUGUAAAGCUCUUUUCUCAAGGAAGACACCCGACGGUACUUGAGGAAUAAGCAACGGCUAACUACGUGCCAGCCGCCGCCGUAAGAC
rnacentral:rRNA from 1 species